CCUACGGGUGGCUGCAGUCGAGAAUCUUCGGCAAUGGGCGCAAGCCUGACCGAGCGACGCCGCGUGCGGGAUGAAGGUCUUCGGAUUGUAAACCGCUGUCGGAGGGGAUGAAAUGCAUGGGGGUACUCACCUGUGUUUGACAGAGCCUCGGAGGAAGCACGGGCUAAGUUCGUGCCAGCAGCCGCGGUAAUACGAACUGUGCGAACGAUAUUCGGAAUCACUGGGCUUAGAGGGUGCGUAAGCGAGGUGUGAAAUCCCCCGGCUCAAACGGGGAACAGCGCUUGAAACUGGGGUGCUCGAGUGAGGUAGGGGUGUAUGGAACUUCCGGUGGAGCGGUGAAAUGUGUAGAUAUCGGAAGGAACGCCGGCGGCGAAAGCGGUACACUGGGCCUUGUCUGACGCUGAGGCACGAAAGCUAGGGGAGUGAACGGGAUUAGAUACCCUUGUAGUC
rnacentral:rRNA from 1 species